rnacentral:rRNA from 1 species
GACGAACGCUGGCGGCGUGCCUAAUACAUGCAAGUCGAGCGGACCAAAGGGAGCUUGCUCCUGGAGGUUAGCGGCGAACGGGUGAGUAACACGUGGGCAACCUGCCUGUAAGACUGGGAUAACAUCGAGAAAUCGGUGCUAAUACCGGAUAAUAAAAAGAACUGCAUGGUUCUUUUUUGAAAGAUGGUUUCGGCUAUCACUUACAGAUGGGCCCGCGGCGCAUUAGCUAGUUGGUGGGGUAACGGCUCACCAAGGCGACGAUGCGUAGCCGACCUGAGAGGGUGAUCGGCCACACUGGGACUGAGACACGGCCCAGACUCCUACGGGAGGCAGCAGUAGGGAAUCUUCCGCAAAUGGACGAAAGUCUGACGGAGCAACGCCGCGUGAGUGAUGAAGGUUUUCGAUCGUAAAACUCUGUUGUUAGGGAAGAACAAGUGCCGUUCGAAAGGGCGGCACCUUGACGGUACCUAACGAGAAAGCCACGGCUAACUACGUGCCAGCAGCCGCGGU